GAUGAACGCUGGCGGCGUGCCUAAUACAUGCAAGUCGAGCGAACAGACGAGGAGCUUGCUCCUCUGACGUUAGCGGCGGACGGGUGAGUAACACGUGGAUAACCUACCUAUAAGACUGGGAUAACUUCGGGAAACCGGAGCUAAUACCGGAUAAAAUAUUGAACCGCAUUGUUCAAUAGUGAAAGACGGGUUUGCUGUCACUUAUAGAUGGAUCCGCGCCGCAUUAGCUAGUUGGUAAGGUAACGGCUUACCAAGGCGACGAUGCGUAGCCGACCUGAGAGGGUGAUCGGCCACACUGGAACUGAGACACGGUCCAGACUCCUACGGGAGGCAGCAGUAGGGAAUCUUCCGCAAUGGGCGAAAUCCUGACGGAGCAACGCCGCGUGAGUGAUGAAGGUCUUCGGAUCGUAAAACUCUGUUAUUAGGGAAGACCAAAUGUGUAAGUAACUAUGCACGUCUUGACGGUACCUAAUCAGAAAGCCACGGCUAACUACGUG
rnacentral:rRNA from 1 species